rnacentral:tRNA from 1 species
GCCUCUAUGGCUCAGUGGUAGAGCAUUGCACUUGUAAUGCAAAGGUCCAUCGUUCAAUCCGGUGUGGAGGCA